rnacentral:rRNA from 1 species
GAUAAACGCUGGCGGCGUGCAUGAGACAUGCAAGUCAUACGGGCGAGCUUGCUCGCCAGUGGCGGACGGCUGAGUAACGCGUAGGUGACCUGCCCCGAAGUGGGGAAUAACUGCCCGAAAGGGUGGCUAAUACCGCAUGUGGUGGUUCGUUCGGUCGCGCCACCAAAGCAGCGAUGCGCUUCGGGAGGGGCCUGCGUCCGAUUAGCUCGGUGGUAGGGUAACGGCUCACCAAGGCGACGAUCGGUAGGUGGUCUGAGAGGACGAUCACCCAGACUGGGACUGAGACACGGCCCAGACUCCUACGGGAGGCAGCAGUCGGGAAUUUUGCGCAAUGGACGAAAGUCUGACGCAGCAACGCCGCGUGAGGGAUGAAGGCCUUCGGGUUGUAAACCUCUUUUCUCAGGGACGAUGAUGACGGUACCUGAGGAAUAAGUCACGGCUAACUACGUGCCAGCAGCCGCCGUAA